UACAGAGGAGCCAAGCGUUGUCCGGAUUGACUGGGCGUAAAGCGCACGCAGGCGGCAUCGCGCGUGGGGUGUGAAAUCUGGCCGCUUAACGGCCAGGCGCCAUCCCAUACGGCGAGGCUGGAGCGAUGCAGAGGUCGGUGGAAUUCCCGGUGUAGCGGUGAAAUGCGCAGAUAUCGGGAGGAACACCUAUGGCGAAGGCAGCUCGCUGGGACGUUACUGACGCUGAGACGCGAAAGCGUGGGGAGCAAACAGG
rnacentral:rRNA from 1 species